rnacentral:rRNA from 1 species
UACGGAGGGGGCUAGCGUUGUUCGGAAUUACUGGGCGUAAAGCGCACGUAGGCGGCUUUGGUAAGUUAGAGGUGAAAGCCCAGGGCUUAACCCUGGAAUUGACCUUUAAGACUGCAUCGCUAGAAUCGUGGAGAGGUCGAGUGGAAUUCCGAAGUGUAGAGGUGAAAGUUCGAUAGAUAUUCGGAAGGAACACCAGUGGCGAAGGACGAC